AUACUUACCUGGCAGGGGAGACACCAUGAUCACAAAGGUGGUUUCCCAAGUUAAGGCUCAUCAAUUGCUCUCCGGGUGUGCUGACCCCUGCGAUUUCCUCAAAUGCUGGAAACAUAACUGCAUGAUUUGUGGUAUUGGGGGACUGCAUUCAUGCUUCAA